rnacentral:lncRNA from 8 species
CAGCCAGUUGAAUAAGUCCUUAAAUGUGAUAGGGAAGCAUCCAACGGGAAAGUGUGUUAUCUAUUUUAAGAGCAACGGGGCUGGCAGGUAGGAUUUAGUUUCUCCCUGUCUCUGGCCCACACUCCAGUACAGUAGGUGGCGGUAAUGCACCAUAACGUUGGAUGCCAACCGCCGAUACAAAUUGAAAGAAGAAAAAACAUGGCGGACAGCCACUAGCUCAAUCCACAAAUAUUUCAAAGCAAGGUAAACAGACUCUAAUAUAUUGUUUACACGCUAUCCUCUUUUUAACAAACACAUUUUUUAGCUGGUAUUUAUUGAUGCAGGCCAACGAUAGAUAGCUAACAUAAAGUCUUCCCGUUAGCAUGCUGUGUUGACGGAGCUAGCUAUCUGUUGUUCGAGCAUGCCCAUGUUAUUAGCUUGGAGGAAAAAGGAAGGAGCUGGUCGACAUCCCCUUGACGCAAUGAAAAAGGCGCACUUCUAUUGAGAGAACCAACUGAAUACACGUUUGAAGACUGUUAUGAUCUUUUAAGGUUUUUUAUUGCAUAUUAUGAUUAUUGUUUUUUUGUCUCAUUCUCCAUUUCUAUAGCCUAGUAUUACAUAUUUGAAACCGUUAUAGCCUAGUAUUGCAUCUUUUAAAUCGUUAUUUAUGACCACUUGUCAGUCCAAUGUAAACUUAGCUAAUGGUAGCUAGCAUGCACACUUACAGUAACCGAGUUUAUGCUUAAUUUAGAAGUCUAUUUGAUUGCCUGCUGAAAUGAUGUAGCUAGCUACUUUGCUAGCUUGAUACACUUACUGAUGCAGUGCUGCUGGUGUGUAUGAAUAGUCAGCAAUCUGUUAUUCUAAACCAGUUAAGGAGAAAAAACAGAAAGGCUGCAAGGUUACUUUGUUGUUGAUAUAUCUUGAAAUGGUUGGUGUGUUUAGUGUGGCUACUUGGUAAAUAUGCAUUAAUUAGUCAAUUUGCCUUUAUCUGCUAUUAAUUUCAAUGUCCUGGCUGCAUGCAUUUUAUAAACAGAGGAUUUGUGAGUAGCUAUGACUGCUGUGUUUUGAUGCUAAAGAAAUCUAAUCUACUUUGAGGACCAAUAUAAUUUCAGCCACUUGUUUGUUUGUCUGACCUAAUGACCUGUGUGUCGUAGCCAACUGGUAGUUAACCUAGGCUCAGGGUUAGGGGCCAAAGCCUCUCAAGUCAAGGAUAGCCAGCCAGACAUCCCCUGCCUGGUCACCGUUGUAAAUAAGAUUUUGUUCUUAACCUCUCUAGGGAAGGUGGGACGAAAUACGUAACAGCCAGUGGAAUCCUGUGGCGC